rnacentral:rRNA from 1 species
UACAGAGGUCUCAAGCGUUGUUCGGAUUCAUUGGGCGUAAAGGGUGCGUAGGCGGCGCGGUAAGUCGGGUGUGAAAUCUCCGAGCCUAACUCGGAAACUGCGUUGGAUACUAUCCGGCUAGAGGAAUGGAGGGGAGACUGGAAUACUUGGUGUAGCAGUGAAAUGCGUAGAUAUCAAGUGGAACACCAGUGGCGAAGGCGAGUCUCUGGACAUUUCCUGACGCUGAGGCACGAAAGCCAGGGGAGCAAACGGG